rnacentral:rRNA from 1 species
AUUGAACGCUGGCGACAUGCCUUACACAUGCAAGUCGAACGGCAGCACGGGUGCUUGCACCUGGUGGCGAGUGGCGAACGGGUGAGUAAUACAUCGGAACAUGUCCUGUAGUGGGGGAUAGCCCGGCGAAAGCCGGAUUAAUACCGCAUACGAUCUACGGAUGAAAGCGGGGGACCUUCGGGCCUCGCGCUAUAGGGUUGGCCGAUGGCUGAUUAGCUAGUUGGUGGGGUAAAGGCCUACCAAGGCGACGAUCAGUAGCUGGUCUGAGAGGACGACCAGUCACACUGGGACUGAGACACGGCCCAGACUCCUACGGGAGGCAGCAGUGGGGAAUUUUGGACAAUGGCGAAAGCCUGAUCCAGCAAUGCCGCGUGUGUGAAGAAGGCCUUCGGGUUGUAAAGCACUUUUGUCCGGAAAGAAAUCCUUGGCCCUAAUACGGUCGGGGGAUGACGGUACCGGAAGAAUAAGCACCGGCUAACUACGUG